GCUUCUGUCAGCGAAAAGUUCAGUUGACCACUCUGAUGGAGUCACUGAAUUAGUAGGAAGUGGGGGAUUGGUGGAUCUAUGGGACCAAUCAUAUUAUACAGAUGAAUCCAAUCUGGAUCAAUUCUUGGCAAAGCUUAAUGCUCUACACAUUUCACCCAAGAGAAAAACUCCAAAUUUUGACACUUGUCUGCAUGUUACAGGGCAUUGAGGAAAGUGAGGUUUGACCGAUUGGUGGGGGCCCUUGGUGGUGAUGUGUAUAGUUUUAUUUUUUCUUGGAUUUUGUAUAUAUAUAGAAUCAUAUUCGUAAUCGUAGUUUUAGUUGCUAACACGUCAAAUACCAUGUAUCGUCAAAUAUCAUCUGCUUAAUCAUCGAUGUCAUGCCAUCUAGUCAAACUCUUUCAAAUUUGACAAAUCGCUAAUUUGUAUGUUUUCUCAUUA